UCCGGUAUGGUGUAACGGCUAACAUUGCCGCCUUUCACAGAUUGAUUACGCUCGCGGCAGCUCGGGGUUCGAUUCCCCGUACCGGAA